AACGAACGCUGGCGGCAUGCCUAACACAUGCAAGUCGAACGAGACCUUCGGGCUUAGUGGCGCAUGGGUGCGUAAAGCGUGGGAACAUGCCCUUAGGUUCGGCACAACUCUUCGAAAGGGGUGCUAAUACCGGGUACUGUUUUCGGAUAAAAGCUUUAUCGCGUUUGGAUGGGCCCGCGUUGGAGUGGCUAGUUGGAAGGGUAACAGCCUACCACGGCGACGAUCGAUAGCUGGUUUGAGAGGACGAUCAGCCACACGGGGUCUGAGACACGGCCCAGACUGCGACAGGAGGCAGGAAUGUGGAAUAUUGGACGAUGGGCGAAUGCCUGAACCAGCAAUGCCGCGUGAGUGAUUAAGGCCUGAAAGUUGUAAAGCUCUUUUACCCAGGAUGGUAAUGACGGUACCGGGAGAAUAAGCACCGGCUAACUCCGUG
rnacentral:rRNA from 1 species